AUGCUCGCUUCGGCAUCACAUAUACUAAAAUUGGAAUGAUACAGAGAAGAUUAGCACGGCCCCUGUGCAAGGAUGACACACAAAUUUGUGAAGUGUUCCAUAUUUCA
rnacentral:snRNA from 1 species